rnacentral:rRNA from 1 species
GACGAACGCUGGCGGCGUGCUUAACACAUGCAAGUCGAACGGGCCUUGUCCCCUUUUUUUUUGGGGGUGGGGUUAGUGGCGAACGGGUGAGUAACACGUGAGUAAUCUGCCCCUCACUUCUGGAUAACCGCUUGAAAGGGUGGCUAAUACGGGGUGUUCUGGCCUGCUCGCAUGGGUGGGUUUGGAAAGAUUCGACCGGUUUUGGUUGUUUUGGUGGGGGAUGGGCUCGCGGCCUAUCAGCUUGUUGGUGGGGUGAUGGCCUGCCAAGGCUUUGACGGGUAGCCGGCCUGAGAGGGUGGGCGGUCACACUGGGACUGAGACACGGCCCAGACUCCUACGGGAGGCAGCAGUGGGGAAUAUUGCACAAUGGGCGCAAGCCUGAUGCAGCGACGCCGCGUGAGGGAUGGAGGCCUUCGGGUUGUGAACCUCUUUCGCCAGUGAAGAAGGUCCUGCUCUUUGUGGUGGGGUUGACGGUAGCUGGGUUAAUGAAGCGCCGGCUAACUACGUG